UGAAGGAAGUGAUAAUGAGUUGACGGUGUUUGUUGGGAAAGGUGGAGAGGGUUUUUCCCAUUUGAACUCAGCUCCAAAGAUGGGGCCCCAAAACAAAGGGAAUUCUUAGCAUUUGAACCCAAUUCCUGAAUUGGGUGGCUAUCAAGGUAACUACCAGAUUGGAGAAAUUGAAAAUUCUUGGAUGGAAGAUCCGUCCUAUGAUGCGGGUUAUCUAAAAGGAUGCUUUGGCAUAAAGGGGUCGGUAAUUUCUUGAGCUUCCUAACUCUUGCAUGACCUAAACCAGAAUUUAGAAGAGAAAUAACUUUCUUGAACUUAAACACAGCCUCUCCNNNNNNNNNNNNNUACUGGACCUGAUCUUGAGGUUGAGACAACAAACCCAGAACUCUAUGGCAGCUCUCCACAGCAGCCCUGUUAGCUUCUUCAACCUCGUCCAUAAUAAUCC
rnacentral:misc_RNA from 1 species